UCAUAUCAUCUGCAUAAAGUAUUUUGAUUUCAGUUUCACAUGUUUGUAUAUUAUUCACAAAUAAAUUGAAGAGAGCAGGUCCCAUUACAGAACCUUGAGUUACAACAUACAUAAUGCUUCUAACAUCUGAUCUUUAUAAGUUAUUAAUGGUUACAUAUUGCCUCCUGUUUCUUAGAUAUGAUGUUAUCCAGUGUGCUGCAUGUCUACGAAUACCAGCAUUCUCUAGUUUCUUUACUAGAACUGUAUGUUGAACUGUGUCAAAUGCCUUGGAUAAAUGAAGAAAAACUCCAGACACUACCAUCUUGUUGUCCAAGGCCCGUGCAAUUGAUUCUGUUAAUGAUUCAGUUGCUGUUUCCAUUGAUUUCCCUUUCUGUUGUACAUGCUGUGCUGGAGUUAUUACAUUAUGGAUAUCGAAAUAAGCAGUUAGUCUGUCUAGCAUGAGAAUUUCUAAUAUUUUGGAGAAGCCUGAUACUAGCCUGUAGUUGUUAGGGUCAUCUUGCUUUCCCUUUUUGUAUACAGGUACAAGUUUAACUAAUUUGAAUUUAUCUGUAAAUAGUACUUCUUGGAAAGAGUGGUUGGUAAUAUCCCGUAGUGGCAUAAUUACUUCUGCUGCCUCCUACUUGAUUAGGUAGUUUGACACUUCAUCAUGUCCAACAGACUUUUUCGCUUUUAGCAUUUUCAUAACAUAUGUCAGUUCCUUUUCAGACACUGGUUUCUCGAUCAUUGAGUGCCAUGGCUUAUCUGUCAUGACAGUUUGGGAGCACUAAAGGCCAAAGUAGUACAACAAACCCACACACGUUACAGGAACUCAAGGAUAAUAUCCAUGAGUCAGUUCAUUCACUUUCUCAAAGAGAAGUACAUUGUGUGACAAAUAAUUUCUUCAGUAGAUGUGAGGAAUGUGUGGAAAAAAAAUGGCAUGUACUUCCAGCAUCUCAGUGCAUUAUAUAGACAGAAGAUAGGAAUGAAGUGCCAACCUAUUCUAAACUGGAAGUGCAGUCUGUAGCAAAUUAUGUGGAGAGUUUGCGUAGCAACAGUAGUAAUACAAGGUGUCCAACAAAGGACUUGCUAACAUUAGAAUUAAAUGGCAUGAAAAUAGUAGAACAGACAUUAUGUUUAUUGUGAAAGCAGUAAGAACUUUAUACACAAGCUUUGAAAUAAUAGUUACAAAACAUGGAACUGUCAUAGCAAAACAAUGUACUUAUAAAUAAUACUCCAAAGUUCAGAGCAAUCAGUUAAUCAACUUCAAAUGGAGAGGCAGCAUGUAAAUGUUGGGCCGGUGGCAGCUGUAGUUACUCCUGAAGAUAUCACCAUAGUUUAUGAAAGAAUACAGCAGAAUAUGAGGAAAUUUGCCCAAACAAUUUCUAUAGAGGCUGGUUUGAAGUGUUGAAGCAUGCAUACACUACUGAGAAAUGGUCCACAUAUGUUCCUAUUCAAAAUCCAAAGCCACCGGGUCAUAUCUGUAACCACUAUGAAAUAAAGGGCUUACUGCAGACCAAAUUCUCACAAUAAGUGAAGGAUUUGGUGCUGGCUGCAUCUGGUUUACUGGUUAGGGAUACACCCAUCUGAAUGUGUUGGAGAAUAAGAAAACUGGCAAUUUUGGGGUACCAAAAAGCCCCUUUUGUAUGAAGAAAAACCAUUGCAUUCUUCUAAAGCUAUUGUUUAGGCUUGUGAUAUGCAGCAGGCAUACAAUGAGCCCUUACGUCAUGCAAGAAUCAGUAGCUAGUAAACAUUAUAAUUUUUGAAAAGUUUGUCAUCAAACAAUAAGCAUUAGAGCAUCAAUGUGCACUGAGUGAUUCAUGCAAAAUGCGGCCUGACCACAUCCGACCAAACUGGUGUUCCACUUUCUUGAGGAAUGCUUUGAGAAUAGGGUCAUUGUGUGGAUUAUCUCAUUUUUAUGGACACAGGCAUGGAAAGCCUCCAUAUUCACUCAGUCUGACUUUUGGGACUACUUUUCUGGGACACGUUGAAAUACAUUAUCAACUGGGACCAUCCCACCACACUGGAUGAAUAUGGACUGUUUGCAUUGCAACUGAAUCCUUAAUAAAAAGAAAAUAUGGCUUCAAAUUCAAAUUUUCUGAAUCUACAAGAGAAAAUGCUCAGCCAGCUACAUGCAUUGACAAUAUUUUAACGAAUUAUGAAUUUGAAGAUGGAUAUAAAUUUUGUCUAGAUCUAGGAAUUUCUGAUCAUUCAGCAUUAUUCAUUGAGCUACCCCAACCAGGUAGAGAAGCCCCAUCUAAAAAAGCUUAUGUAAACAGGAUCUUCAACUAAGAAACUUUGACUCUAUUCCAUGAUAAGCUCAAGGAGACAGAAUGGCACUUUGAUAAAAAUAUUUCAUGCACAGCAAAUUUUGAAGCAUUUCUAGGGGAUUCUCUAAGUGUUUUCAAUGAAAUGUUUCCACAAAAGACUUAUUUUAAUA